CCUACGGGGGGCUGCAGUGAGGAAUAUUGGUCAAUGGACGAGAGUCUGAACCAGCCAAGUAGCGUGAAGGAUGACUGCCCUAUGGGUUGUAAACUUCUUUUAUAUGGGAAUAAAAUGUUCCACGUGUGGGCGUUUGUAUGUACCAUAUGAAAAAGGAUCGGCUAACUCCGUGCCAGCAGCCGCGGUAAUACGGAGGAUCCGAGCGUUAUCCGGAUUUAUUGGGGUUAAAGGGAGCGGAGGGGGAUUGUUAAGGCAGUUGUGAAAGUUUGCGGCUCAACCGUAAAAUUGCAGUUGAAACUGGCAGUCUAGAGUACAGUAGAGGUGGGCGGAAUGCGUGGUGUAGCGGUGAAAUGCUUAGAUAUCACGAAGAACUCCGAUUGCGAAGGCAGUUCACUGGACUGCAACUGACACUGAGGCUCGAAAGUGUGGGUAUCAAACAGGAUUAGAUACCCGUGUAGUC
rnacentral:rRNA from 1 species